rnacentral:misc_RNA from 1 species
GGAAGGAUCAUUAACACACUCCAAAUUUUUUUCUAGUCCAAGAUACAUAAACACAGUCUUAUUGAAUUGCAGCCCUGGUGGCGAAUUCUUUAAAUUAUUGAGACCGUAGACGAUGGAUGACUUGGCUUGUACACCGAUGAAGAGCGCAGCUAGCUGCGAUAAGUAGUGUGAAUUGCAGAAUUCUGUGAAACACUAAAUUCUUGAACGCAUCCGGCACCUGUGAGCAAUCACGGGUACACCUGGUUGAGUGCGGCUUUCAUCAUUCUUGAAAACAAAUACUUUUGUUUACAAGGUGCUGGGGAGUUCGGUUUAGUUCGGCUCGCUGACAACAACCGUUCCCUUAAAUAAUGAUCCUAGAAUUUCUAAUUGUUGAAUUCGACCAUUCCUAUUUUAUAGGAUGGAUUUGGAUAGUAAACAGAUAGUGGGUUUUACUGUUCACUUCCUUUAUUGGAACAAUUCAUACAGUGUGAUCUUCAUUGUACAGGAUCAAAUAUUCCCCGACUUGUCGGGGGACCACUACUACAAAUUGCUGCCUCAACUCAGGUGGGAUAACCCCCUGAACUUAAGCAUAUCAAUAAGGGGUGGAAAAGAAACUAACCAGGAUUCCCUUAGUAACUGCGAGUGAAACGGGAAAAGCUCAUACCCUAAUCUGGCGUGGUUUACCGCGUCCGAAUUGUAGUGUUUGGAUUGGUACACAGUGGGUUUCCAUAGGAGAAAGUGUGCUGGAACGCACCGCCAUAGAGGGUGACAGCCCCGUACUUCUAUAGGAGCUUAUUUACUGUACUUUUCCUAGAGUCGGUAUGUUUGGGAGUACAUACCUAAGUGGGAGGUAAAUUCCUUCUAAAGCUAAAUACGGGUACAAGACCGAUAGCGAACAAGUAGCGUGAGCGAAAGUUGCAAAGAACUCUGGAGAGAGAGUUAAAGAGUCCCUGAAAUCGUCUACGGGUAAGCAUUUGGCUUGACUCUUGUUGCUGGUGGCUCACUUAUUGGUGAGGUGCUCUUGUGUUGGGGUGGAACUGGCCUUUGUGUUGGUCCCUCUGGUGCGGAGUAUUUUACUGGUAGGGCAUUCCAUCAGUGACUGCCAUCGUCAGUGUUGACUUCAGCAAAAAGGUGAUAGUUUGGUGCCAUGUUGUAGGUUUCGGCCUAUAGUGUGGAUUCAGGCUGUUGCUGUAGCUGUCGUUGGUACUGUUGCAUUAGCCAGUGCAGUGCGGUAUGGGUUUGUUCCGGGUGUUGUUGGUCAGGAGGACAGCUUGCUGUGCUUUUGGCUAGUGGUGCUCAACGGGCAGGCUCAACAACUAUUGGCUAUUACGAUGACUUGAGUUGGGCUAAACGUCCCGUCUUGAAACACGGACCAAGGAGUCUAACAUGUGUGCGAGCCUAAGAGUGAAAAACUUGCAGGCGCAAUGAAAGUGAUUGGAUGGGAAAGGUAACAUCUCGGUGUUGCCUUGCACCAUCGGCCCAUUGUCCUCUUCGGGGGAUGGUGGAGUCAGAGUACACCUGUUAGGACCCGAAAGGUUGCGAACUAUGCCUGCAUAGGACGAAGCCAGGUGAAAACCUGGUGGAGGUCCGAAGCGAUACUGACGUGCAAAUCGUUCGUCAAAUGUGGGUAUAGCGGCGAAAGACUAAUCGAGCAGCCUAGUAGCUGGUUCCCUC